GGACUACUGGGGUAUCUAAUCCUGUUUGCUCCCCACGCUUUCGCUCCUCAGCGUCAGUACCGGUCCAGAUGGCCGCCUUCGCCACUGAUGUUCCUCCAGAUAUCUACGGAUUUCACUCCUACACCUGGAAUUCCGCCAUCCUCUCCCGGACUCAAGUAAAGCAGUAUCAAAGGCAAUUCCACGGGUGAGCCGUGGGAUUUCACCCCUGACUUACUAAACAGCCUACGAGCGCUUUACGCCCAGUAAUUCCGAUUAACGCUCGCACCCUCCGUAUUACCGCGGCUGCUGGCAC
rnacentral:rRNA from 1 species